rnacentral:snoRNA from 7 species
AGCACUAUUUUUAAACCUGUUGGUGGAUUUUCCUGGCCAUCAUGGGUUACGCUGUAGUGCAAAAGAAUCUCCUGGCUCUUCAGAGUAUAGUUGGCCUUCUGUUUGGCUGAUGCUGCUCUGAAGCUAAGGGACAGAG